GGCUCCGUGGCUUAUGCAGUGAAAGCACCUGUCUAGUAAACCGGAGACCCUGCGUUCAGUCCCAGUGGGGCCU
rnacentral:tRNA from 1 species